UCCCGACCCAGGGAUUGAACCCUGCUCUCCUGCACCACAGGCAGACUCUUUACUGUCUGAGCCACCAGGGAAUGUCUAGUGCAGUAACAAAUCCACACUAGAUAAUCAGUGUUAACAGAUCUAUGGAGCCGGUAACAGACAAAAGUCAUCAGGUUAGCUCCCAGAGCAAACUGUUCAACAUCAUGUUGUAGUGCCUGAAGAAUUCAGGCGUUACUGACUGGAGAGGAAGAGGAGGGGGAGGAAUAUAUUUUAGCUAUUAAUUCUUGCCUUGGUAUUUUUAGUCUUUUGAAGGAUGAAAAGGAAGAAAAAAGUAAAAGCUCUGUUGACAGUUAAAAGCAGACAUCUGUUCUCUUUACCAAGACCCUCAAAGACCCGUCAGACUGGGCCGAGGCCUCUGGAGCCCUUCCCAAGAACCUUCUUGCUCGGAAGAUUAGCAGUUUCUUCUCAAGCAUCGCUCUCAACUUGCUAAACAACUUGAAACAGUUCCAGCAAAACGUGUGUCCCUCAGAUCCCAGGGCAGAACUCAGAGACAGUAAUGAAGAAAUGAGAAGAAAGGGGAAGGAUCUUUGUAUACUGGGCCAGUUCCUAGGCUCCCAGAAUCCUUGCUACAGAAUCCAGGUGAAGAGAAGAAAAAAGAAAAAAAAGUCAGUGACACUGUUGAUAUACAAAACAAAGAGCUAAGAGCUGAGAAGAAAAGCAGAAAGAGCCUGAUUGUCUUAGAAUCUUGUAGACCAUUUUGUGACUGCCCCAGGAGGUGGCUCGCGGGUGAGCGGCCAGAGUGCUCUGCAUGUUGGUGGCGAAGAAAUGCGCAGUCAGCAAGUGACAUGUAAGCACACAAGAGCCCACGGAACGGUGCAGCUGAUGCCUCUGAGAGGGUGUGCCCCCAGAGCGUGCGCCCCCAGAGCCAGGCCUCUGGGAAGAAGACCCUGUUCCAGUCACGCCUGUGUUCAGUGGCUCCUUGAACCAGGGAACCAGGGAACGCUGACAAACCUAGUAGUUUUGAUAGUCAGCCAGUCCCUGUAGUCAAACCCACACAG